UUUCCCCGCCGGGGGAGUACGGUCGCAAGACUGAAACUCAAAGGAAUUGACGGGGGCCCGCACAAGCGGGGGAGUAUGUGGUUUAAUUCAAUGCAACGCAAAAAACCUUACCUGGCCUUGACAUGCACGGAACUUUCCAGAGAUGGAUGGGUGCCUUCGGGAACCGUGACACAGGUGCUGCAUGGCUGUCGUCAGCUCGUGUCG
rnacentral:rRNA from 1 species